rnacentral:rRNA from 1 species
GGCGGGUCUCUGGGCAGUAACUGACGCUGAGGAGCGAAAGCGUGGGGAGCGAACAGGAUUAGAUACCCUGGUAGUCCACGCCGUAAACGGUGGGUACUAGGUGUGGGUUUCCUUCCUUGGGAUCCGUGCCGUAGCUAACGCAUUAAGUACCCCGCCUGGGGAGUACGGCCGCAAGGCUAAAACUCAAAGAAAUUGACGGGGGCCCGCACAAGCGGCGGAGCAUGUGGAUUAAUUCGAUGCAACGCGAAGAACCUU